rnacentral:pre_miRNA from 1 species
ACAACCCUAGGAAGGGGUGCCAUUCACAUGGACUAUAAUUGAAUGGCGCCACUAGGGUUGUG